rfam:Felis catus isolate Cinnamon breed Abyssinian chromosome B1, whole genome shotgun sequence.
GCCUGGGUGGCUCAGUCGGUUGAGCGUCCGACUUCAGCUCAGGUCACGAUCUCACGGUCUGUGAGUUCGAGCCCCACAUCGGGCU